rnacentral:rRNA from 1 species
AGAGUUUGAUUCUGGCUCAGGAUGAACGCUGGCGGCGUGCUUAACACAUGCAAGUCGAACGGAGUUAUCAUUUUUGAAGCGAUUAGCUUGCUAAGAGUGGAAAAGUUGAUAACUUAGUGGCGGACGGGUGAGUAACGCGUGGGUAACCUGCCUUACACAGGGGGAUAACACUUAGAAAUAGGUGCUAAUACCGCAUAAGCGCACAGUCCCGCAUGGGACAGAGUGAAAAACAUUAGUGGUGUAAGAUGGACCCGCGUCUGAUUAGCUUGUUGGCGGGGUAACGGCCCACCAAGGCGACGAUCAGUAGCCGGCCUGAGAGGGUGGACGGCCACAUUGGGACUGAGACACGGCCCAAACUCCUACGGGAGGCAGCAGUGGGGGAUAUUGGACAAUGGGGGAAACCCUGAUCCAGCGACGCCGCGUGAGUGAAGAAGUAUUUCGGUAUGUAAAGCUCUAUCAGCAGGGAAGAAAGAAAUGACGGUACCUGAGUAAGAAGCCCCGGCUAACUACGUGCCAGCAGCCGCGGUAAUACGUAGGGGGCAAGCGUUAUCCGGAAUUACUGGGUGUAAAGGGAGCGUAGACCGUAAUGCAAGUCUGGAGUGAAAAGCGGGGGCCCAACCCCCCGACUGCUCUGGAAACUGUGUA